GACGAACGCUGGCGGCGUGCCUAACACAUGCAAGUCGAACGGAGAUGUUGAUUUUCGGUUGACGUCUUAGUGGCGAACGGGUGAGUAACGCGUGAACAAUCUGACCUUAAGAGGGGGAUAACAACGAGAAAUCGUUGCUAAUACCGCAUAAGACCACAAUGCCGCAUGGCGAAGGGGUCAAAGGAGCAAUCCGCUUAAGGAGGGGUUCGCGUCCCAUUAGGUAGUAGGUGAGGUAACGGCCCACCUAGCCGACGAUGGGUAGCCGAGCUGAGAGGCUGAUCGGCCACACUGGAACUGAGACACGGUCCAGACUCCUACGGGAGGCAGCAGUGGGAAUAUUGGGCAAUGGGCGCAAGCCUGACCCAGCAACGCCACGUGAGGGAAGAAGGUUUUCGGAUUGUAAACCUCUGUCGCAGAUGACGAAACAAAUGACGGUAAUCUGUGAGGAAGCCCCGGCUAACUACGUGCCAGCAGCCGCGGUAAU
rnacentral:rRNA from 1 species